rnacentral:rRNA from 1 species
GACGAACGCUGGCGGCGUGCUUAACACAUGCAAGUCGAGCGGAGCGGCGAACGGGUGAGUAACGCGUGAGUAACUGCCCCCCUCUCUGGGAUAACAGUUGGAAACGGCUGCUAAUACCGGAUAGUGGGGGAUGACUCGCGUCCUAUCAGCUUGUUGGUGGGGUAGUGGCCUACCAAGGCGACGACGGGUAGCCGGCCUGAGAGGGCGACCGGCCACAUUGGGCUGAGAUACGGCCCAAACUCCUACGGGAGGCAGCAGUGGGGAAUAUUGGGCAAUGGGCGCAAGCCUGACCCAGCAACGCCGCGUGAAGGAAGACGGUCUUCGGAUUGUAAACUUCUUUAGACAGGGACGCGGUACCUGUAGAAUAAGCCACGGCUAACUACGUGCCAGCAGCCGCGGUAAUAC